UGCGCAGGCGGUUUGUUAAGUCUGCUGUGAAAGCCCCGGGCUCAACCUGGGAAUUGCAGUGGAUACUGGCAAGCUAGAGUGUGGUAGAGGAAGGUGGAAUUCCCGGUGUAGCGGUGAAAUGCGUAGGGAUCGGGAGGAACACCAGUGGCGAAGGCGGCCUUCUGGACCAACACUGACGCUCAGGCACGAAAGCGUGGGGAGCAAACA
rnacentral:rRNA from 1 species